rnacentral:rRNA from 1 species
AAAAAAAAAACCUACUUACGAGGGUUCCCGAGCAACAAGAGUGACAUUUCAGUGUUGAGAUGUGAUCAGAGUUCGCGUAUCGGCCGCUGCCUUGGAAACUUCCACUGGCCGCGUCUAUCAUCUCAGAUUGCGCACAUCGCAAAAGUGACAAAAAGCUGGGUUGGAAGGUUGCUUUCGCCGGCGCUCCCCGGCGCGACCAUAGUUCUCUCCACUACAUGAGAGCCGGUCGGCCUCGGCCGGCUCCGCAGCACGGCGCCCGCGGCCUUCGAGCCGACACUGGGUGCGAGGCGGUAAGGGUGUUUUCACGACCCUCCGUAUUACCGACGACUCCGAUGGAGAGAGCGUCAGACACGCGGAACCUGUUUUCCGUCGUGGCGAGGAAAAUCUCGGAAGCGUUGCACAGCGUGCUCGGUGACGAGCUUCGCUGACCCAGCAUCGUGGCGAGGAGCGAGCCUGCCGCGCCCUUCAAGCCUACGGGCGGGGUGCGUGCUUGCGUGCAACUCGGACCAGAUGCAGAAAUGGCCUUUCGGCCAGCAAAAACUUGGCUUUACCUGGUUGAUCCUGCCAGUAGUCAUAUGCUUGUCUCAAAGAUUAAGCCAUGCAUGUCUAAGUGCAUGCCGAACUAAGGCGAAACCGCGAAUGGCUCAUUAAAUCAGUUAUGGUUCCUUAGAUUGUUUCUACCUACUUGGAUAACUGUGGCAAUUCUAGAGCUAAUACAUGCAGUGAGCCCGAAGCCGUUAGGUGACGGGUGCUUUUAUUAGACCAAGAUCAAACGGGCCUCGGUCCGUGUGUGUGGUGACUCUGGAUAACUUUGGCUGAUCGCUAAGGCCACGAGCCGGCGACAAUUCUUUCAAGUGUCUGCCUUAUCAACUGUCGAUGGUAGGUUAUGCGCCUACCAUGGUCGUUACGGGUAACGGAGAAUCAGGGUUCGAUUCCGGAGAGGGAGCCUGAGAAACGGCUACCACAUCCAAGGAAGGCAGCAGGCGCGCAAAUUACCCACUCCCGGCACGGGGAGGUAGUGACGAAAAAUAACAAUACGGGACUCUUUUGAGGCCCCGUAAUUGAAAUGAGUACACUCUAAAUCCUUUAACGAGGAUCAAUUGGAGGGCAAGUCUGGUGCCAGCAGCCGCGGUAAUUCCAGCUCCAAUAGCGUAUACUAAAGUUGCUGCGGUUAAAAAGCUCGUAGUUGGAUCUCAGUUCCAGGCGGGUUGUGCAUCCACUCGAUGUUUACGACCCGCACUGAACAUCUUACCCGCUGUCUCUUGGUGCCCUUCAUUGGUGUGCCUCGAGGUGGCCGGUGCAUUUACUUUGAAAAAAUUAGAGUGCUCAACGCAGGCGAACGUCCUGAAUAACAGUGCAUGGAAUAAUAGAACAAGACCUUGUUUCUGUUCUGUUGGUUUUUGGAAAACGAGGUAAUGAUUAAGAGGGACGGACGGGGGCAUUCGUAUUGCGGCGCUAGAGGUGAAAUUCUUGGACCGUCGCAAGACGAACUACUGCGAAAGCAUUUGCCAAGAAUGUUUUCAUUGAUCAAGAACGAAAGUCAGAGGUUCGAAGGCGAUCAGAUACCGCCCUAGUUCUGACCAUAAACGAUGCCAACUAGCGAUCCGCCUGAGUUACUCAAAUGACUCGGCGGGCAGCUUCCGGGAAACCAAAGUAUUUGGGUUCCGGGGGAAGUAUGGUUGCAAAGCUGAAACUUAAAGGAAUUGACGGAAGGGCACCACCAGGAGUGGAGCCUGCGGCUUAAUUUGACUCAACACGGGAAAUCUCACCCGGCCCGGACACUGGAAGGAUUGACAGAUUGAGAGCUCUUUCUUGAUUCGGUGGAUGGUGGUGCAUGGCCGUUCUUAGUUGGUGGAGCGAUUUGUCUGGUUAAUUCCGAUAACGAACGAGACUCUAGCCUAUUAAAUAGGUGCGAGGUUCUCUGCACCUUACAACCUUCUUAGAGGGACAAGCGGCUUCUAGCCGCACGAAACAGAGCAAUAACAGGUCUGUGAUGCCCUUAGAUGUCCGGGGCCGCACGCGCGCUACACUGAAGGAAGCAGCGUGUAUUUGCCCCUGUCUGCAAAGACUGGGUAACCCGUGGAACCUCCUUCGUGAUUGGGAUAGGGGCUUGAAAUUGUUCCCCUUGAACGAGGAAUUCCCAGUAAGCGCGAGUCAUAAGCUCGCGUUGAUUACGUCCCUGCCCUUUGUACACACCGCCCGUCGCUACUACCGAUUGAAUGAUUUAGUGAGGUCUUCAAACUGGCGCUCGGAGCGUCCUUUCGGUCGCGCCGGCGUGCUGGGAAGAUGACCAAACUUGAUCAUUUAGAGGAAGUAAAAGUCGUAACAAGGUUUCCGUAGGUGAACCUGCGGAAGGAUCAUUAUCGAAAAAGAGGGACUCCUCUCGUUGCAGCCUGAAAAAGAGAGCGAGGACCGAUCGAUACUGACGGCAGGACAGUGGCACGUCUUGAAGUGCGGUCUUGCUUCGUAGGCGUCCGUGCGGACGAGCCUCCGCUGUCGGGGCUCGAAUGCGGGUUAAAGGCGCUUACAACCAUUGGUAGC